rnacentral:rRNA from 1 species
AAAUUGAAGAGUUUGAUCAUGGCUCAGAUUGAACGCUGGCGGCAGGCCUAACACAUGCAAGUCGAGCGGUAGCACAGAGAGCUUGCUCUCGGGUGACGAGCGGCGGACGGGUGAGUAAUGUCUGGGAAACUGCCUGAUGGAGGGGGAUAACUACUGGAAACGGUAGCUAAUACCGCAUAAUGUCGCAAGACCAAAGUGGGGGACCUUCGGGCCUCAUGCCAUCAGAUGUGCCCAGAUGGGAUUAGCUAGUAGGUGGGGUAACGGCUCACCUAGGCGACGAUCCCUAGCUGGUCUGAGAGGAUGACCAGCCACACUGGAACUGAGACACGGUCCAGACUCCUACGGGAGGCAGCAGUGGGGAAUAUUGCACAAUGGGCGCAAGCCUGAUGCAGCCAUGCCGCGUGUGUGAAGAAGGCCUUCGGGUUGUAAAGCACUUUCAGCGGGGAGGAAGGCGAUAAGGUUAAUAACCUUGUCGAUUGACGUUACCCGCAGAAGAAGCACCGGCUAACUCCGUGCCAGCAGCCGCGGUAAUACGGAGGGUGCAAGCGUUAAUCGGAAUUACUGGGCGUAAAGCGCACGCAGGCGGUCUGUCAAGUCGGAUGUGAAAUCCCCGGGCUCAACCUGGGAACUGCAUUCGAAACUGGCAGGCUAGAGUCUUGUAGAGGGGGGGGUAGAAUUCCAGGUGUAGCGGUGAAAUGCGUAGAGAUCUGGAGGAAUACCGGUGGCGAAGGCGGCCCCCUGGACAAAGACUGACGCUCAGGUGCGAAAGCGUGGGGAGCAAACAGGAUUAGAUACCCUGGUAGUCCACGCCGUAAACGAUGUCGAUUUGGAGGUUGUGCCCUUGAGGCGUGGCUUCCGGAGCUAACGCGUUAAAUCGACCGCCUGGGGAGUACGGCCGCAAGGUUAAAACUCAAAUGAAUUGACGGGGGCCCGCACAAGCGGUGGAGCAUGUGGUUUAAUUCGAUGCAACGCGAAGAACCUUACCUGGUCUUGACAUCCACAGAACUUUCCAGAGAUGGAUUGGUGCCUUCGGGAACUGUGAGACAGGUGCUGCAUGGCUGUCGUCAGCUCGUGUUGUGAAAUGUUGGGUUAAGUCCCGCAACGAGCGCAACCCUUAUCCUUUGUUGCCAGCGGUCCGGCCGGGAACUCAAAGGAGACUGCCAGUGAUAAACUGGAGGAAGGUGGGGAUGACGUCAAGUCAUCAUGGCCCUUACGACCAGGGCUACACACGUGCUACAAUGGCAUAUACAAAGAGAAGCGACCUCGCGAGAGCAAGCGGACCUCAUAAAGUAUGUCGUAGUCCGGAUUGGGAGUCUGCAACUCGACUCCAUGAAGUCGGAAUCGCUAGUAAUCGUAGAUCAGAAUGCUACGGUGAAUACGUUCCCGGGCCUUGUACACACCGCCCGUCACACCAUGGGAGUGGGUUGCAAAAGAAGUAGGUAGCUUAACCUUCGGGAGGGCGCUUACCACUUUGUGAUUCAUGACUGGGGUGAAGUCGUAACAAGGUAACCGUAGGGGAACCUGCGGUUGGAUCACCUCCUUACCUUAAAGAA